UCUUGACCUCGGAUCAGGUAG
rnacentral:rRNA from 1 species